rnacentral:tRNA from 1 species
AAGGCCCUGGCUUAAUUAAAGCAUCUGGGUUGCAUUCAGAAGAUGCAGGUUAGUGUCCUGCGGGUCUUA